rnacentral:rRNA from 1 species
UACGUAGGGGGCAAGCGUUGUCCGGAUUUAUUGGGCGUAAAGAGCUCGUAGGCGGUUUGUCGCGUCUGCUGUGAAAACUCAGGGCUUAACCCUGAGCCUGCAGUGGGUACGGGCAGACUAGAGUGUGGUAGGGGAGAUCGGAAUUCCUGGUGUAGCGGUGGAAUGCGCAGAUAUCAGGAGGAACACCGAUGGCGAAGGCAGGUCACUGGGCCGCAACUGACGCUGAGGAGCGAAAGCAUGGGGAGCGAACAGG